CUGCAAAAAAAAAUAAGGCUCCGUUUGGUUGAUGUAUAUGAUGAGACAUAGACACAAAGACAUAGACACUAAAGACAUGGACAUAAAAUAUUUGUGUCUAU